CGCAGGCACGGCGGGCGCCGCGGGCACCACGGCGUCACUCAUUAAGUCCGAGCCGAGCGCGCGACCGUCGUUCAGCAUCGAGAAUAUCAUCGGAGGGGGCCCUGCGGCGCCCGGGGGCUCGGCCGCGGGUGCUGGGGGCGCCGGGGUAACUGGGGGCACCGCGGGUAGCGGAGGCGGUGGCGCCGCGCAGUCCUUCCUGCGGCCGCCCGGGACAGUGCAGUCGGCAGCGCUCAUGGCCACGCACCAGCCUCUUUCACUGAGUCGGACGACGGCGACCAUCGCGCCGAUUCUGAGCGUACCGCUCUCUGGACAGUUUCUGCAGCCUGCAGCCUCGGCUGCCGCUGCUGCCGCCGCCGCUGCUCAAGCCAAGUGGCCCGCUCAAUAGGGACGCGCUGGUGGCCGGGAUGCGGGGCCUGGCAGCGGCCUGGAUUGUCGGCUGCAAUUUGCAAGCUGCGCGCCCCGCCCCGCUCCUGGCCCCCCUGCCCAAUCCUGGACUCUGCCUCUCUUCCAUUUCCUCCCCCUCGACCCCUCAACACCGACCUUCGGCGGCCUCCACCCAGUCCUGCACACCUAGGCUGGCGGAGCAAACUCUCACUGCGCGCCCGCGGGGAAUAUCUUUCCGUACAGGCCCUGAAAGUUCUGUGACUUUCCCAAGGUCACUGGGCAGCCCAAGGAUAAGCCUUAGAAAUGCUCAGCGGAGGAAAAAUUGUUCUCUAUCCUGGAAAGACGCCGCACUUGAGGAAAGGAAAAAAGCGAACAGUGGCACAAAGAAGACUGGAAAGACUGGGGGUGCGGGGAGGGGGGCAGAGAGAAAGAAAAAAAAGACAAACGCAGAGAAACACUGGGCCGAGCUGAACUCAGUUCUGCAAAGGCCAAGACCUAGACCCAGUGCCACCCCGCGCGGCCCCGUAAGCCCGCUACGCCCAGACCCAUCCGCGCCGCGCCGCGCCUCUCGCCCAGAGCCAGGCGGUUCUUCGGCCACCUACGCCUCGAUCUCCCGGCCUCGUGAUUUGGGAAGGGAAGGACGAAGGCGGAAACUCCAGGCCCGAAGCUCAGAGGUCAGAGGUCCAGCCAUAUCGCUCAGGUCCCCACGAGUUGGUCCCCACCGGUGUCCCCAGCCCCUCCCACGCCGGGUCCACUUUGGCGCCAGCCACUAG
rnacentral:lncRNA from 1 species